AGCAGAGGUAAAAUCAUUCUCCACUGACGUCAAUGGGAGUUCUGCCACUGUCUGAGACCAGGGCCAGGAGAUCACUCCAGGAUUUUUUCUCAGGGAACUGGAAAAGCAGUCGUCAGGGUCAUCACAGAAAAGUAAUAUACGCACUACUAAGACAUCUGGAAACUACCUAAGGGACACUGUAUACAACAAAAGAUAGUAGAGUUCAGUAUGGAGAGACGCUCCUAUAUGAUAUAUAGAUGUGCUUCCAAGGUGCAAUGGAUUUACAACUAUACAAAAUCUACUGGAACACUUGUGGAAAUCAUAAAGAUUGUGAUAUUAUCAGAUGUGAAUGCAGGAA